rnacentral:rRNA from 1 species
ACGCUGGCGGCGUGCCUAACACAUGCAAGUCAACUUGACUGAAGGAGCAAUCUGACAGUAGAGUGGCGCAAGGGUGCGUAACGCGUAAGUAACUUGCCCCAAGGUAAGGAAUAACGUCGAGAAAUCGGCGCUAAUACCUCAUAAUGCAGCGGAUCCGCAUGGAUAUGUUGCUAAAGGUUUACCGCCUUGGGAUAGGCUUGCGUCUGAUUAGCUAGUUGGUGUGGUAACGGCACACCAAGGCUACGAUCAGUAACUGGUCUGAGAGGAUGAUCAGUCACACUGGAACUGAGACACGGUCCAGACUCCUACGGGAGGCAGCAGUGAGGAAUAUUGGGCAAUGCUCGAAAGAGUGACCCAGCAACGCCGCGUGGAGGAUGAAGGUAUUCUAUAUCGUAAACUCCUGUGAGAGCAGACGAAAGACAGAUUAUUAAUCUGGAUGACUGUAUGCUCAGAGGAAGCCCCGGCUAACUACGUG